CUGGGUGUGGUUUGCUUUAAAAAUAGUCCACUCAUGAUGACUCUGCAUGUUAUUCAGCUCCUCUUCAGGCUGAAAGGUUCCAGCUCGGCAGCGACUGCACACUUCAAAAGAGCCGCAAAACAAUGGCUGCAGUUACCAUUGAAUACUGUUCAGGAUGAGGUUAUGGGAGGCGCUACCAGCAACUAGCCCGCGAUCUCGAGCAGGUUCCUGGUGUGCAGGUGACGGGAAGCAGAGGGAGAGCAAACAGCUUUGAGGUGGAGGUGAACGGUCAGCUGAUCUUCUCCAAGCUUGAGAGGGGAAUGUUUCCAAUUCCUGAACAGGUGGUGGAGAUGGUGAAGCAGAUCAUCCACGGAGGAAAAGUGAAGAAUACUUAAAGCAUCUGCACAUACCACGAGAAGAUGGAGGAGGAAACAGCAGCUGCGUUCACACUGCUGCAGACACCGACGAGGCGAUGAUGAGAGCAGCUCUGAGGAGCCAGCCGCUGAUCUGCCUUCUGUUCAUGAAUGUGCGCACUAAAAAACACACGUGGUGUGCACACGAUGCAUCUCCAGAAGCUUUCAGCCGGCCGGGGCCUGAGGAACUGCUCUCCUCUCGUCUGUCAUACAGCUGCAGGAGUGGAAAAUCAGGAAAUAUAAUCAAUCAUAUUUAGCUUUUCUCUGUCUCCUAAAGUCUGAGGUCUGUCACAUGGUGGGGCACAAAUUUAAAGCAAUAGUUAGAAAUUCAUUUAUUUAGCGUUCCUGUCAAGAGUUAGCAAGAUGAGAAGACUGAUACCACUCUCCAGUCUGAUUGGUCAAUAUGAAGCUACCGGCAAUCAGUUAGCUUAGCUUAGCAUACAGACUGGAAACAGGGGGUAACAGCUAGCCUGGCUGUCAACGUAAUCCAACUGCCAGCACCUCUAAAACUCACUAAUUAACAUGUUCAAUCUUGGUUAAUAUGUACAAAAACCCUAGUAUAAAAAUGGCAACAUGCUGUUUGACGGGAGGUUAUGUGCUGGACUAAUUCUUGGCCGGGACCAGUUACUUCCUGGAGUCCCCACUACUGGUCCAGAUGAAGAAAUAAGAAAUAGUCCAUCACAUCGCCAUGAAAAAGGUGAAUUGUCAUUUUCACACUUUGGUUUCUGAUCAAACAAGAUAAACAUGUUAAUGAGCGAGCUUUAGAGGAGCUGUUAGGCAGGUUUUGUUACCUCAGGAUGGAGCCAGGCUCGCUGUUUCCAGUCUUUGUGCUAAGCUAAGCUAACCAGCUGCUGGUUGUAGCUCCAUAUUCAAUGUACAGGUAUGGAAAAGGUACCGUUCUUCUCAUCUAACUCUUGGCGAGAAAGCGAAUGCGCAUAUUUCUGAAAAUAUCUACUUAUUGUUUUAAUCUUUGUGUGGUCAGACAUAACAUACGUUGCUUAUUUCCUGUCUGAUUUGGAAAAAAAUCAUGAUUGUGUCAAAGUUGGACACCUCACAUCAGCAUUAAUGUGUUUACUGCCUGUGUGGGUGAAGCCCCAUUCGACUUCUUGUCUGUAUUUCUAGAUUUACAGCUGAAACACUCUGACAUCAUGAACACAGACUUGCCCUUUUCUAACACAUCAGAUGUAUUUUAGAUUCAUAAUGGCCAUAUACAUCCUACUUUUCUCCCCCUGGACUAUAACCUGGAGGUGGGGUCGUACUGUGCAUGUGCUGCCAUCUCUGUCUCUAUUCUGACAUCUUACAAGAUAAACAGUAAAUCAAUAAUGUUCCAUAUUUAGAGAUACCAUUUAAACAUUUAUUUUCAUUUUUCAAACAUACUGUACUGUUAUACUGCUCUUAUCUAAUUUUUAACCAAUUCUAGCAAAAACAUUUUCCUGAAAAGCAAUAAAAUAUCAUUGAAAAAGA